GGGCCCGUAGCUCAAUGGUUAGAGCACCAAGCUUAUACCUUGGGGGUUCCUGGUUCGAAUCCAGGCGGGCCCACCA
rnacentral:tRNA from 1 species